UAGCUCAACUGGUAGAGCAUGGCAUUAAUGUUGCCAGGGUUAGUGGUUUGAUUCCCACUGAUUCCCA